rnacentral:lncRNA from 1 species
GGGAGACCAUAGGUUAACACAUAUUUGUUCCUUAAACAGAUAUUGACAGUGUUUCUAUAAUACUCCAGACAUUGUGUUAUGUGCUGGAGACACAACAGAGAACUUGACAGACAGUGCCAUAUCACAGAAGCUGACACUUAGAGAGCUUCUACUGAAUGAGUGCUGAACCCAGGGCACUGUGACUGUCAUGGUCUACGAGCUGCAGAUAGACUCUCGGGUCAACUGUCCAAAGCCUUGCUACUCUAAAGGAAGAGCCAACCAGCCUGUGAAUCACCAAAGGCAAAGCAAAAAAGAAAAACAGGAAAAGCAAAACAAAACAAAAGUCUGGAAAGUUUCCUGAUACUACCAGUUCAGGCUUUCUCUUCUGAGCCAAGCAAUUAUUCGAAACUGAUUGCACGAAAAGUUCCAGUUUUCAGAGGAAAGGGGGUUUCCCUUUUCACCAUGACCUUUUGUUAAAUUGGAGUUUGGAAUCAGAAACACAUAGAAUAAACAGUCUCACCGCUCCUCAUUUGAGAACACCAUCAUACUUAUUAAAGUU